ACGGAAGGCAGCAGUGAGGAAUAUUGGUCAAUGGGCGGAAGCCUGAACCAGCCAAGUCGCGUGAAGGAUGAAGGUAUUAUGUAUUGUAAACUUCUUUAGCAGUGGAGUAAUAAGGGGAUCGUGAUCCCUGAUGCAAGUACACUGAAAAUAAGGAUCGGCUAACUCCGUGCCAGCAGCCGCGGUAAUACGGAGGAUCCGAGCGUUAUCCGGAUUUAUUGGGUUUAAAGGGUGCGCAGGCGGCCCUGUAAGUCAGCGGUUAAAUUGUGGGGCUCAACUCCAUCCCGCCGUUGAUACUGCAGGGCUUGAUUGCGGUCGAGGUUGGCGGAAUUCGUCGUGUAGCGGUGAAAUGCAUAGAUAUGACGAAGAACACCGAUUGCGUAGGCAGCUGACCAGGCCGUAAAUGACGCUCAUGCACGAAAGUGCGGGGAUCGAACAGGAUUAGAUACCCUGGUA
rnacentral:rRNA from 1 species